GAGGUGUCAGAAAAGUUACCAC
rnacentral:ncRNA from 2 species